GUGAUAUUCCCGUACACGAAAGGGCACACAUAAUGAUGACGAGUAGGGCGAGGCACGUGAAACCUUGUCUGAAUAUGGGGGGACCAUCCUCCAAGGCUAAAUACUCCUGACUGACCGAUAGUGAACCAGUACCGUGAGGGAAAGGCGAAAAGAACCCCUGUGAGGGGAGUGAAAUAGAUCCUGAAACCGCAUGCAUACAAGCAGUGGGAGCACCUUCGUGGUGUGACUGCGUACCUUUUGUAUAAUGGGU
rnacentral:rRNA from 1 species